UACGAAGGGGGCUAGCGUUGCUCGGAAUCACUGGGCGUAAAGCGCACGUAGGCGGCUUCUUAAGUCAGGGGUGAAAUCCUGGAGCUCAACUCCAGAACUGCCUUCGAUACUGGAGAGCUCGAGUCCGGGAGAGGUGAGUGGAACUGCGAGUGUAGAGGUGAAAUUCGUAGAUAUUCGCAAGAACACCAGUGGCGAAGGCGGCUCACUGGCCCGGUACUGACGCUGAGGUGCGAAAGCGUGGGGAGCAAACAGG
rnacentral:rRNA from 1 species